GCAUCUGUGGUUUAUUGGUAGAAUGCUCGCCAGCCACGCGGAGGACCCGGGUUCGAUUCCCGGCCGAUGCA